rnacentral:lncRNA from 1 species
AUGCAAUGACAAUGACAAUAAGGCUUCACCAUGCUACCACUACUCUCCUCCUACUACUAAUGUGUUAGCUCUUGUUCCAUGUUACUGAAUACUUCUAUAUUAGCUUUCACACUACUUGUUACUAUCCUUCAACUAUCAACCAAAGUCUUCUACAAUAUCAAACUAAUUCUAAACUAUCACUACUACCUCACCUAUUAACAAGCAGACCAAGCCGAAACAUUUGUUGUAGUCGGGACAAUAGUAUUUAAAUACAAGUUGUGUAUUGUAAACCUUACUUUUCAUUGAUAAUACAAAGGAAUUGCAGCUGCUCUGCAGUCGGAGACGUAAGCAAUAUUGGCUGAACUUCGUUAUCAAAUAUCGUGUGUGUUCAUUAUCUGCUUUUAUCGUUUCUUUAAUCUCUUGUUUUUGGAACCGGUUUCUUGUUAUUGGAAACGCACCAUGUUAACAUUGAUAUAUAGGGAAGCCAAUGCAUACUAUCACACCCAAAUUCUUUUCUUGUAUCUAUUUUUCUGCAUUCAAAAUAAGGGAUUCUGCAUUGCCAUAUUAAAAAUUGUGAUUUAGGCUCUCUCUAUUGACUUAGAUUCAAAUAGAAACAUGGCUGGAUAUUCUAUAAUCAUGCCAUAUGUCAAAUAUAGAUUAUCAUCAUCACAACACAAGUUUUGCAUAUCAUGCAUAGAGUGAUAGAACUAAUAGACUCUAAUUUCAGCUCUGCAGCCAGAAAACACUAAUAAUUAGUAUGCAUUUUUUCAAGCAACCAAAACAGUGCCAUAUUUUUUUUUAAAACAAACAGAACACUAUAACCACAUUUUCACUUCUUGUCAAAAAAAGAAAAAGAAAACCACAUUUUCACAUUCUAAUGAUUCAACAAGAUUUGCUCUAAUUAACAAUGUCUUGCCAUGUUGUACCAAUAUAACCACAAUUUUUUUUUUUUUGCGCAAAGUCUGUAUUUACUGGAGUACAACAUAAUUGACAUGUAAUUUUCUGUUAGAAGAUGUAUGAUGACAUUUUUGGGGUCAGAGAUAGCCAAGUGACACUAUCCUGUCUUUCUUUGUAGCCAAGUUUUAUGUACAAAGUCUCACAAAAAAGGGAGCGACUCAAGUAAUAAUACUUGGUUAUUGUGAG